rnacentral:rRNA from 1 species
CAGCCGCCGCGGUAAUACGUAGGGUGCAAGCGUUGUCCGGAAUCAUUGGGCGUAAAGAGCGUGUAGGCGGCUCGAUCAGUCCGCUGUGAAAGUCCAGGGCUCAACCCUGGAAAGCCGGUGGAUACUGUCGGGCUAGAGUACGGAAGAGGCGAGUGGAAUUCCUGGUGUAGCGGUGAAAUGCGCAGGUAUCAGGAGGAACACCAAUGGCGAAGGCAGCUCGCUGGGACGAUACUGACGCUGAGACGCGAAAGCGUGGGGAGCAAACAGGAUUAGAUACCCCUGUAGUCCCUGUCUCUUAUAC